rnacentral:pre_miRNA from 1 species
UUAGAUUGGAUAUAGAUGAAUUGGAGCUAGUAGUUGGCUAUACUAUUGAACUUGCUCUAGUAUAGCCAACGAGCAAGUUCAAUAGUAUAGCCAUCUACUAGCUCCAAUUCAUCUAUAGCCA